rnacentral:rRNA from 1 species
UGCCUAGGAAUCUGCCUGGUAGUGGGGGACAACGUUUCGAAAGGAACGCUAAUACCGCAUACGUCCUACGGGAGAAAGCAGGGGACCUUCGGGCCUUGCGCUAUCAGAUGAGCCUAGGUCGGAUUAGCUAGUUGGUGAGGUAAUGGCUCACCAAGGCGACGAUCCGUAACUGGUCUGAGAGGAUGAUCAGUCACACUGGAACUGAGACACGGUCCAGACUCCUACGGGAGGCAGCAGUGGGGAAUAUUGGACAAUGGGCGAAAGCCUGAUCCAGCCAUGCCGCGUGUGUGAAGAAGGUCUUCGGAUUGUAAAGCACUUUAAGUUGGGAGGAAGGGCAGUAAAUUAAUACUUUGCUGUUUUGACGUUACCGACAGAAUAAGCACCGGCUAACUCUGUGCCAGCAGCCGCGGUAAUACAGAGGGUGCAAGCGUUAAUCGGAAUUACUG